UACGUAGGGGGCAAGUGUUGUCCGGAUUUAUUGGGCGUAAAGAGCGUGUAGGCGGCCAGGUAGGUCAGCUGUGAAAACUCGAGGCUCAACCUCGAGACGUCGGUUGAAACCACCUGGCUAGAGUCCGGAAGAGGAGAGUGGAAUUCCUGGUGUAGCGGUGAAAUGCGCAGAUAUCAGGAAGAACACCCGUGGCGAAGGCGGCUCUCUGGGACGGUACUGACGCUGAGACGCGAAAGCGUGGGGAGCGAACAGG
rnacentral:rRNA from 1 species